rnacentral:rRNA from 1 species
AGAGUUUGAUCAUGGCUCAGGACGAACGCUGGCGGCGUGCUUAACACAUGCAAGUCGAACGGUGACCUCGGAGCUUGCUCCGGGUGAUCAGUGGCGAACGGGUGAGUAACACGUGAGUAACCUGCCCCAGACUCUGGGAUAACCCCGGGAAACCGGAGCUAAUACCGGAUACGACACGAAGAGGCAUCUCUAUCGUGUGGAAAGUUUUUCGGUCUGGGAUGGACUCGCGGCCUAUCAGCUAGUUGGUGAGGUAACGGCUCACCAAGGCGACGACGGGUAGCCGGCCUGAGAGGGCGACCGGCCACACUGGGACUGAGACACGGCCCAGACUCCUACGGGAGGCAGCAGUGGGGAAUAUUGCACAAUGGGCGAAAGCCUGAUGCAGCGACGCCGCGUGGGGGAUGACGGCCUUCGGGCUGUAAACCCCUUUCAGCAGGGAAGAAGCGAAAGUGACGGUACCUGCAGAAGAAGCACCGGCUAACUACGUGCCAGCAGCCGCGGUAAUACGUAGGGUGCGAGCGUUGUCCGGAAUUAUUGGGCGUAAAGAGCUUGUAGGCGGUCUGUCGCGUCUGCUGUGAAAAUCCGGGGCUCAACCCCGGACUUGCAGUGGGUACGGGCAGACUAGAGUGUGGUAGGGGAGACUGGAAUUCCUGGUGUAGCGGUGAAAUGCGCAGAUAUCAGGAGGAACACCGAUGGCGAAGGCAGGUCUCUGGGCCACUACUGACGCUGAGAAGCGAAAGCAUGGGGAGCGAACAGGAUUAGAUACCCUAGUAGUCC